GAUCGACUGCAGAACAAAACUGGACAAAGAGUACAUUUGAUUCGCCCUGACUGAACUUUUGAAUUGUAAGUGAUCUGUGAUGGCAGCAAGUAAGCCCGCUGGCGGGGCCGCCGCACUCCCUCUCUCUCUCCCCGCCCCCCGAGGCUCGUCCCCG